rfam:Asian citrus Psyllid, Diaphorina citri - Florida Strain, whole genome shotgun sequence.
UGGCUUAGUUGGUAGUGCGUCUGCCUUGUAAGCGCCAGGCCGCGGGUUCGAUUCCCGC